GAUGAAGAACGUAGCGAAAUGCGAUAAGUAAUGUGAAUUGCAGAAUUCAGUGAAUCAUCGAAUCUUUGAACGCACAUUGCACUCAUUAGUAUUCUAGUGAGUAUGCCUGUUCGAGCGUCAUUUCAACCCUUAAGCCUAGCUUAGUGUUGGGACUCUACCCUAACCGGUAGUUCCCCAAAAUCAGUUGGCGGAGUUCAGUCGGCUCUGAGUGUAGUAAUUUUCUCUCGCUUUAGAAGUCUUCUGGAUUACGGCCAGAAAGAGACGAGUUCCGCAUUUCGGUGCGUUUCUCAACUUUUUUGUACAAUGGUUGACCUCGGAUCAGGUAGGAAUACCCGCUGAACUUAAGCAUAUCAAUAAGCGGAGGA
rnacentral:misc_RNA from 1 species